rnacentral:rRNA from 1 species
UACGGGGUCCCGUCCGCUCCCCCAGAGUCAAGCCGCUGAGCGGUGGAUUAGUAGUUGGGUCGGUGACG